rnacentral:misc_RNA from 1 species
GGGCAGUCAAAAUAUAACAAAGGCACGCCUUUAUUGCACUGUGCACCCAGAGAGUCAUGCACCCAGUUACCCACUCCGUAGAGGCGCUAGCCCUUGUGUUGUUUGGCCUUGAGCCUGAGGCACCGCUUUAAAAACAAUGAUUUUCAUCUAAUCAAAUUUGAUAGUAAGCCAUCUCAAAUUUUUUAUGAGGUUGGUUAUAGUUCAAGAAGUUAAA